GUUUCGGUGGUUAUAGCGUAGGGGAAACGCCCGGUUACAUUCCGAACCCGGAAGCUAAGCCUUACAGCGCCGAUGUACUGCAUG
rnacentral:rRNA from 1 species